UACGUAGGGUCCAAGCGUUAAUCGGAAUUACUGGGCGUAAAGCGUGCGCAGGCGGUUCGUUAAGUCAGCUGUGAAAGCCCCGGGCUCAACCUGGGAAUUGCGGUUGAAACUGGCGAACUAGAAUCUGGCAGAGGGGGGUGGAAUUCCACGUGUAGCAGUGAAAUGCGUAGAUAUGUGGAGGAACACCGGUGGCGAAGGCGGGUCUCUGGGCCGAUACUGACGCUGAGGAGCGAAAGCGUGGGGAGCAAACAGG
rnacentral:rRNA from 1 species